AUUGAACGCUGGCGGCAGGCCUAACACAUGCAAGUCGAGCGGAUGAAGGGAGCUUGCUCCUGGAUUUAGCGGCGGACGGGUGAGUAAUGCCUAGGAAUCUGCCUGGUAGUGGGGGAUAACGUCCGGAAACGGGCGCUAAUACCGCAUACGUCCUGAGGGUGAAAGUGGGGGAUCUUCGGACAUCACGCUAUCAGAUGAGCCUAGGUCGGAUUAGCUAGUUGGUGGGGUAAAGGGCUACCAAGGCGACGAUCCGUAACUGGUCGGAGAGGAUGAUCAGUCACAUGGGAACGUGGCCACCCUCCAGACUCCUGCGGUACGGAGCAGACGGGAACAUGGGACAGUGGGCGAAAAUCUUAUCCAACCAUGGCGAGUGUGGUAAGAAGGUGCCCCGAUUGUAAAGCACUUUUAGUUGUGAGGAAGCGCAGUAGGUUUGUACCUUGCUGUUUUGACGUUACCAAGAGAAUAAGCACCGGCUAACUUCGUG
rnacentral:rRNA from 1 species